rnacentral:rRNA from 1 species
CCGAAUGGGGAAACCCAGCAUGAGUUAUGUCAUGUUAUCGAUAUGUGAAUACAUAGCAUAUCAGAAGGCACACCCGGAGAACUGAAACAUCUUAGUACCCGGAGGAAGAGAAAGAAAAUUCGAUUCCCUUAGUAGCGGCGAGCGAAACGGGAAGAGCCCAAACCAACAAGCUUGCUUGUUGGGGUUGUAGGACACUCUAUACGGAGUUACAAAGGACGACAUUAGACGAAUCAUCUGGAAAGAUGAAUCAAAGAAGGUAAUAAUCCUGUAGUCGAAAAUGUUGUCUCUCUUGAGUGG